UACGUAGGGGGCAAGCGUUAUCCGGAUUUACUGGGUGUAAAGGGAGCGUAGACGGCAUGGCAAGUCAGAUGUGAAAGCCCGGGGCUCAACCCCGGGACUGCAUUUGAAACUGUCAGGCUGGAGUGCAGGAGAGGCAAGUGGAAUUCCUAGUGUAGCGGUGAAAUGCGUAGAUAUUAGGAGGAACACCAGUGGCGAAGGCGGCUUACUGGACUGUAACUGACGUUGAGGCUCGAAAGCGUGGGGAGCAAGCAGG
rnacentral:rRNA from 1 species